rnacentral:rRNA from 1 species
UACGAAGGGGGCUAGCGUUGCUCGGAAUCACUGGGCGUAAAGGGUGCGUAGGCGGGUCUUUAAGUCAGGGGUGAAAUCCUGGAGCUCAACUCCAGAACUGCCUUUGGUACUGAAGAUCUUGAGUUCGGGAGAGGUGAGUGGAACUGCGAGUGUAGAGGUGAAAUUCGUAGAUAUUCGCAAGAACACCAGUGGCGAAGGCGGCUCACUGGCCCGAUACUGACGCUGAGGCGCGAAAGCCAGGGGAGCAAACGGG